GCCGAGAUAGCUCAGUUGGUAGAGCAUGCGACUGAAAAUCGCAGUGUCCACAGUCCGAUUCUGUGUCUCGGCA
rfam:Longilinea arvoryzae DNA, scaffold: Larv_scaffold_1, strain: KOME-1.